rnacentral:lncRNA from 1 species
AUGGAACUGGACAAUUUGGACAGAAAAACAAGAAAACUCAUGACCAUUCAUCACUCACUGCACCCUCGCAGUGAUGUUGACCGGCUAUAUCUGCCUAGAAGAUCAGGGGGCAGAGGACUCUUACAAGUAAAACAAGCAGUCAAAGAAGAAGAACAUGCCCUGGCAGAAUAUGUAAAGCAAAGUGAAGAACCUGCUUUGACUGAAGUCAAAAAUCAGAAACUCCUCAAAGCACAGCAGACAAAAAACCAGUACAAGAAAGCCACACUACAAACUAGAGCUGACAGCUGGCACAACAAAACAUUGCAUGGAAAGUUCCUUGACAAAAUCGAAAGAAAAGCUGACAAGGAGAAGACCUGGCUAUGGCUCACGAAUGGGACCCUGAAGAAGGAGACAGAAGGCCUGAUCCUUGCAGCCCAGGAGCAAGCCAUCAGAACAAAUACAAUUAAGGCCAAGAUCGAAAAAUCAGCUGAUGACCCAAAAUGCAGACUGUGCAAGGAAACCGACGAAACCAUUGAUCAUAUCCUCAGCUGCUGUAAGAAAAUUGCACAGACAGACUACAAACAGAGGCACAACUAUGUGGCCCAAAUGAUUCAUUGGAACUUAUGCCUCAAGUACCACCUCCCAGCAGCAAAGAACUGGUGGGAUCACAAACCUGCAAAAGUAUUGGAAAAUGAGCAUGCAAAGAUACUGUGGGACUUCCGAAUCCAGACUGACAAAGUUCUGGAACACAACACACCAGACAUCACAGUGGUGGGAAAGAAAAAGGUUUGGAUCAUUGAUGUCGCCAUCCCAGGUGACAGUUGCAUUGACGAAAAACAACAGGAAAAACUCAGCCGCUAUCAGGACCUCAAGAUUGAACUUCAAAGACUCUGGCAGAAACCAGUGCAGGUGGUUCCGGUGGUGAUGGGCAGACUGGGUGCCAUGCCAAAAGAUCUCAGCCGGCAUUUGGAAACAAUAGACAUUGACAAAAUUACGAUCUGCCAGCUGCAAAAGGCCACCCUGCUGGGAUCUGCGCACAUCAUCCGAAAAUACAUCACACAGUCCUAG